UUGAUACUCCCUCCGUCCGAAAAUACUUGUCGAAGAAAUGCAUAAAAAUGAAUGUAUCUAGAACUAAAAUACAUCUAGAUACAUCCAUUCCUUUGACGAGUAUUCGGACGGAGGGAGUAGUUG
rfam:Triticum aestivum genome assembly, contig: Triticum_aestivum_CS42_TGACv1_scaffold_406689_5BL